rnacentral:rRNA from 1 species
UCGAGAAUCUUGGGCAAUGCACGAAAGUGUGACCCAGCGACGCCGCGUGAAGGAUGAAGGCCCUCUGGGUCGUAAACUUCUUUUACGGGAGAAGAAGAACUGACGGUAUCCCGUGAAUAAGCCACGGCUAACUACGUGCCAGCAGCCGCGGUAAUACGUAGGUGGCAAGCGUUGUCCGGAUUUACUGGGCGUAAAGCGCGCGCAGGCGGAUGGUUAAGUAGGAAGUGAAAGGUUGGAGCUCAACUCCAACAUUGCUCCCUAUACUGGCCAUCUUGAGUCCCGGAGAGGAAAGCGGAACGACACGUGGAGCGGUGAAAUGCGUUGAUAUGUGUCGGAACACCAAUGGCGAAGGCAGCUUUCUGGACGGGUACUGACGCUCAGGCGCGAAAGCCGAGGUAGCGAACA